AUACGUAGGGAGCGAGCGUUGUCCGGAAUUACUGGGUGUAAAGGGUGCGUAGGCGGGACUGCAAGUCAGAUGUGAAAUGCCGGGGCUCAACCCCGGAGCUGCAUUUGAAACUGUGGUUCUUGAGUGAGGUAGAGGUAAGCGGAAUUCCUAGUGUAGCGGUGCAAUGCGUAGAUAUUAGGAGGAACAUCGGUGGCGAAGGCGGCUUACUGGGCCUUUACUGACGCUGAGGCACGAAAGCGUGGGGAGCAAACAGGAUUAGGUACCCUGGUAGUCCACGCUGUAAACGAUGAUGACUAGGUGUGGGGGGACUGAACCCUUCCGUGCCGCAGUUAACACAAUAAGUCAUCCACCUGGGGAGUACGGCCGCAAGGUUGAAACUCAAAUGAAUUGACGGGG
rnacentral:rRNA from 1 species